rnacentral:rRNA from 1 species
UACAGAGGUCCCAAGCGUUGUUCGGAUUCACUGGGCGUAAAGGGUGCGUAGGCGGUCGGGUAAGUCUGAUGUGAAAUCUCCAAGCUCAACUUGGAAAUGGCAUCGGAUACUAUUCGGCUCGAGGAAUGGAGGGGAGACUGGAAUACUUGGUGUAGCAGUGAAAUGCGUAGAUAUCAAGUGGAACACCAGUGGCGAAGGCGAGUCUCUGGACAUUUCCUGACACUGAGACACGAAGGCCAGGGGAGCAAACGGG